GGGGCCGGGGGCGCAGCCUGCCGCUCUGGAGGGCCCUCAGCGGGGCCCUGGCCCUGGCCGUGGUGGCGCACCUGGCCGCGUGGCCCUGGCGGGUGGCUGGAACAUGCUGGGCUCUUGAUGUGUCAGAAAAAUGUGCAACCUGCCCAGAAGACUGGAUCAGGUUGGAUAGCAACAUGACUGGAGGAUGAUGUUACUAUUUUUCUAGUGAAUCUAAGGAUUGGGGUACCAGUAAGGACAUCUGUGGCUCACAUAAUGCCACUCUGGCUAUGAUAAAGGAGCCGCUAGUCCUGAUUGAACUCCGGUUGAUUAUACAUCAACAUUUCAUUUGUCAAGGGACUCGUGGUGGUGUGACUUGUCCCCCAAUGGAGAAGUUGCGAGAUUGGCAUGUCUACCUGUCGCCCUUCAAAGCAGGUUUAAAGAGUGGCUGAAUGCACCAUUGCUCUUCCACCAGUAGUAGCUAAAACAGCAUACAUCCCAACAUGUCUGAUGCUAAACAAGUGUCCAUAAGUUCCCCUGACUCUCAGCUCUGAGAGAGGCACCCAUUGGUUGUUCAAGUUGUGGAUGGGUGACAGAAUUUGCGUUGAAGGGAUUUUGGUGUGAUUUGCUGCACAGCUCAGGCUCUUAAGUGCCUGCCUGAAUUUUCACUACAUUUGUGUUGCCACCACUGACUUGGACAUGGAGUUUCCACCGCCAUCAGCUGCCAUGUAUGCAUACAUGGUUGUCACCUUGCAGACCUUCUGGCCUAAUGUUGUGAACUUGUGCGGGAGAUUUUUUUUUCCACUCAAUGUCAGCAAAUCAUGAUGGAUGCCAUGACUUCUUUUAUCAAUGCCAAUAACAGGGGAGCCAUAUUUGUGGGGAAAAGCCUCGUGUAUAUUUUCGCUGCCAGUGAAUGGAGGAUUCAUGGCUACAUCCAGAUUCUAGUCUGACAGCAGCUGCUGCCCUGAAGAUGUUUUGGCUGCAGGUCAACAUGUUGUUGUCAGGCCCAUGAGGGAGUGAUUCCAAACUGCAGAAUGACAUUUCUGGGCCAGGGGUAUAAGCAGCAGCUGGUGGGAAUGAAUCCUCAUGGCCACUUGAGACAACAGGCAGUGGACUUCCACGUGUCCAAGAGCACCUUCAUGGAGAUUCGUGCUGACCUUGUCUUACACAUGCAGUAAUAGACAGAGGAGCACAUCAAACGCUUAAGACGACCGGAGUAUUACUACUGGAUUGGGUUGAGAAAAGGACCAAUGGGACAGCAGUGGGAGGAUGGAUCAUUGUUCACGGGUUACGUGUGAGUUUGUCAUUUGUGACUGCACAGUUGGCAGGAGUGUUGGCACAUCUGUCUGAUUGAACUGGGAAAGGAAUAGUUGUUCCAAGGGUAGAGAUGGGGGACAAAUUGCGUGCAGUUUCCUUUUAAUUCAUCAAGAUGUUUAGCUUCAGGAAAAAUCUAUUGUUUUCUGAUUUCUUCUGUCAUACAUGUUGUGUAAACUUAAGCCUGGGGUUAUGGAGAUUACUGGACAUCCUAGCCUUCUACCACAAUGCAUCUUUAGGAAGUAACUUGCUAACUCAUGUUUUGUUUUGUUUUGUUUUGUUUUGUUUUGUUUUGUUUUGUUUUGUUUUUUCCCUCCCCCACCCAGAAUCUCAUUGGAAAACGAAGGCCCAAACCUGGAUUGUGCCUACCUAAAUGCAGAGAAAUUGGUUGCUGUUGAAUGUACAUCUAUAAGGCACUGGAUCUGUGUCAAAGAGCUGUACUGAGCCUCUUCCAUUUUCUUUGAACGACUUAGCAAGAAACAUAAUGUAAACUUGCUCAUGAAGUUCCUUGCAUCCUGCUGCUAUAGAAAAUGUUGUUGAUUUCAGAGAAAUGUUGUGGAUGGAGUUGUUCUGAGCCAUGAAGGCUAAGUACUGCAUGUGCAGGUUUGUUGCAGGAUACCUGGGUGGCCUGAGGCUGAUGUACCUUGCCUGUUGUGACUUAGUUCUUAUGGACCUCCACACAUUUUUGUUUCUAGAUCAAUGGUUCUCAAAUUCAUUAAAUGACUCAAGGCACCAGUUGGAAAAUGCCAGCUCUUAGCCCCCUCUUAUUUUUGGUGCAUCCCCUUCCCUGCGAAACAAGUUAUUCCCACUCGGGGUGGGCAGCUCCGUCUACAGCCUGUGACCCAGGGCCAAAUUUGGAGCUGAGCAGCAGCCUGCCUCUAGGUUGGAAGUAGAAUUCAAGAUGUCUCCCUCCUUGCUGUCCCCCCCCCCACACACACACAUACAUUGAUGGGGGUGGGGGAGGAGGGCGGGCAGGAGGACAGACCUCAUCUUGGAUUCAAGUGAAUAAGGUGUUUCCCAGUAUGCUUCCUUGGUGACCUGUCCAGUGUCUGUAUGCUUUCUUUUUGCAUUUGAGGCAUCCUAGAAGCUCCUUGCACAGCCACGUUUGUCUUGUACCAUUCUUUUUACACUUUAAUUUUGUUGGAACAGUUUCUUGUUAGGCUUCCAGUACUGUGCCCUUUAGAAGCUUCCAGCUCUCCUUGCGCCUAUAUCCUUCAUUCUUUGUUUCUAUGGCACCAUGCUUAUUAACUGCUUGAAUUAACUGAAGUGUACUUUUUUUGAAAUCCAAUGUCCUAGUUCUGCUGACCAAGCUUCCCCAUCUCAGGAUCUUUAAUUCUAUCAUACCGUGAUCACUUCCACCCAAGUUUUCCAUCACCUUCACAUUUUCGACCAGUUUUCUUUGUCGGGACAAGAUCCAAAAUAGAUGAUCCCCUAGUUGUUUCUGGAACAGAAAAGUGCCCUCUACACAAACUAGAAACCUGCUUGACAUUUUAUGUUUGGCUAUAUUAAUCCAGCAGAUGUCUGGAAAAUUGAAGUCUCCCAUCAGUAGCAUUUCAUAACUUCUGGAUAAUUCUCACAUCGUCAACAGUACCUCAUCCACUUCUUCCUGAUUUGGUGGAUUAUAUCUGUAAUAUAUCUCACCGUUAUAUUACUGCUGUACCUUUUAUCUUCUCCCAAAUACAGUUUGAUCUACCUUCAUUUUGAACCAGGGAACAGGCCUAUCUAUUUUUGACAUACAAGGUGUGGAAGAAAUCAAACUUCG